GUAGGAACGUUGGCAACAAACGAUCAGUAUCGACAAAGGCUGGCAAAAGGAAUUCUAGUGCAAGCAAAAAGAGACGCCGCGUCGCACGGUGAUGAGGAAAGUUG
rnacentral:snRNA from 17 species